UGCGUUUCCGCCUUCAGUUCCGAGCUCUGUGGCCCUGGUACUCCUUUGGAUCCUCUUGCUGGUGUCGUCUGUGCCUCUCCUUUAUUGUCCCCAGCUGGCUGAAUCAGAGGCUUAAUUCAUCUUGUUUCUGAUUGUUUGAUCCUGUGAGAGAUGACUACUGGCAGAAAAAUGAAGAAUCUAAGUAGAAAUGAGUACACAACCACAAGAUUGGAAAAGGAAAUACUCAAGGAAAUACCACAGAAGAUAACUGCAAGCUUACUAAAAAGUCAAAUGCAAACUUCUCUAGGAACUUUCCAGCUAAUUACAACCAUGAAGCAUCAGUAUCUCCAGAGAACCAGCAAAAAAAAACCUUACUAAAAUCUAAAUAUGCACUAGAAAGGAAGUGGUUAAUUGGUUUUUCUGAAACAUCAAUUCUGUGAGGGCAGUGGAAAUCAACAAGUUAAAAAUCCUGUGUAGAGAGACUGGUCUAGUUUUAGGAAUGUAGAGGGCACAAAACAUUUGAAACUUGCAAGUGGGCAUUAAGAGCAUAUAGUAGAAUAUUUCCACCACAAAGGUCUAAGAAAACUCCUGAAUAGAAAGUGCCUAUAUGUAAAGAAAAAAGGUAAAUAAAGAAUGGAAGGAAGGAGAUUCUUUUAUCUGCUUACAAGUGCCUGGCUCUUUUUCCUGCUCUGAUUAUAGUAUAAAAUGUAACUUUUUGGGUGUCUAAGAGGACGAGUAGAGAGGGGAGAGGAGUGGGAAAAGAAGAGAGGGCAGGAAGGGAGGGGGGAAAGGUAGAAGGUAAGAAGAGAAUGGGAGAGAAAGAGUUGGGCGAGGUUGGGCGAGGGAGGGCAAAGGGAAGGACAAGAAGGCAGGGAGAGUAGAGAAAUGUUUUCCCAAAAUUUCAUCCUGUUCAGUUACUACUUACCCAGGGAAACUCGGAUUUACAGGGAACCCAAUUUAUGGGCUGACUGCAUACCAAAAAUUCACUUACAACUCUCUCUUUUGAAAAGCAAACACUUUCCCCUCCAGUAACUAUGUUGCAAGGCGUGGCUAGGUUCCCAGGCUAGUUCUCAAAAAAUAGACACACUGCAGAAGCACAGUGCAUUUUCACCCCAGAAGCUCCUGCACUCAUGGACAAAGGAGCUUAUCUUCCCUUUGGUCCUAAAUGUCUCUCCUCCCCCAAAUUUGUAUUAUGAGUAUCUCUUCUCCAUUCUGUAUUUUCAGUGUCUCUCUCCCUGGCACUCACCCAAACAUGAAGAAGACUCUACCUGUCUCAACAAAUCUUCCUGAAUGAUGUGGCCUCCUUAAAGCUGGCAUGAUUUGCCUCUUUUCUUUACAUCUGUUUGAAAACACUGUAAUCACUUAAACCAGUUUCUUAAUAAAUAAUAGGGGAUAUGCAUACUAGUACCUCAAUUUGUACAUACAUACAGGAUUAUUUCUUCACAACAAAUGCUGUGAAAUAGAAUUGCUGGGUCAAACAGUACACAAAUUAAUGUUUUUGGUGAUACUGGCAUAUUAUCUUCAAGAAAAUGUAUCUUCGGGGCACCUGGGUGGCUCAGUGGGUUAAA